rnacentral:sRNA from 1 species
AAAGAAGAAGAAAAGACUGCUCCUUUAUACUUCCACCCUUGUAACUAC